rnacentral:rRNA from 1 species
GGUGAGUAACACGUGGGCAAUCUGCCCUGCACUCUGGGACAAGCCCUGGAAACGGGGUCUAAUACCGGAUACGACCUUCCUCUGCAUGGGGGUUGGUGGAAAGCUCCGGCGGUGCAGGAUGGGCCCGCGGCCUAUCAGCUUGUUGGUGGGGUAAUGGCCUACCAAGGCGACGACGGGUAGCCGGCCUGAGAGGGCGACCGGCCACACUGGGACUGAGACACGGCCCAGACUCCUACGGGAGGCAGCAGUGGGGAAUAUUGCACAAUGGGCGAAAGCCUGAUGCAGCGACGCCGCGUGAGGGAUGACGGCCUUCGGGUUGUAAACCUCUUUCAGCAGGGAAGAAGCGCAAGUGACGGUACCUGCAGAAGAAGCACCGGCUAACUACGUGCCAGCAGCCGCGGUAAUACGUAGGGUGCGAGCGUUGUCCGGAAUUAUUGGGCGUAAAGAGCUCGUAGGCGGCCUGUCGCGUCGGAUG